rnacentral:tRNA from 1 species
CGAGCGAUAGUUUAGACCCCAGAAUUUUGGCCUUGGAUGCCAGGGAUGAAAGUGGAAAUCUUUCUUGCUUGA